rnacentral:rRNA from 1 species
AGAGUUUGAUUCUGGCUCAGAACGAACGCUGGCGGCGUGGAUAAGACAUGCAAGUCGAACGAGAGAAUUGCUAGCUUGCUAAUAAUUCUCUAGUGGCGCACGGGUGAGUAACACGUGAGUAACCUGCCCCCAAGAGUGGGAUAGCCCCGGGAAACUGGGAUUAAUACCGCAUAAAAUCGCAAGAUUAAAGCAGCAAUGCGCUUGGGGAUGGGCUCGCGUCCUAUUAGUUAGUUGGUGAGGUAACGGCUCACCAAGGCGAUGACGGGUAGCCGGUCUGAGAGGAUGUCCGGCCACACUGGAACUGAGACACGGUCCAGACACCUACGGGUGGCAGCAGUCGAGAAUCAUUCACAAUGGGGGAAACCCUGAUGGUGCGACGCCGCGUGGGGGAAUGAAGGUCUUCGGAUUGUAAACCCCUGUCAUGUGGGAGCAAAUUAAAAAGAUAGUACCACAAGAGGAAGAGACGGCUAACUCUGUGCCAGCAGCCGCGGUAAUACAGAGGUCUCAAGCGUUGUUCGGAAUCACUGGGCGUAAAGCGUGCGUAGGCGGUUUCGUAAGUCGUGUGUGAAAGGCGGGGGCUCAACCCCCGGACUGCACAUGAUACUGCGAGACUAGAGUAAUGGAGGGGGAACCGGAAUUCUCGGUGUAGCAGUGAAAUGCGUAGAUAUCGAGAGGAACACUCGUGGCGAAGGCGGGUUCCUGGACAUUAACUGACGCUGAGGCACGAAGGCCAGGGGAGCGAAAGGGAUUAGAUACCCCUGUAGUCCUGGCAGUAAACGGUGCACGCUUGGUGUGCGGGGAAUCGACCCCCUGCGUGCCGGAGCUAACGCGUUAAGCGUGCCGCCUGGGGAGUACGGUCGCAAGAUUAAAACUCAAAGAAAUUGACGGGGACCCGCACAAGCGGUGGAGUAUGUGGCUUAAUUCGAUGCAACGCGAAGAACCUUACCUGGGCUUGACAUGUAAUGAACAACAUGUGAAAGCAUGCGACUCUUCGGAGGCGUUACACAGGCUGUCUCUUAUACACAUCUGACGCUGCCGACGAUCGCAUAAGUGUAGAU